GUAAGGUGGCAAGCGUUGUCCGGAAUUAUUGGGCGUAAAGCGCGCGCAGGGCGGUCCUUUAAGUCUGAUGUGAAAGCCCACGGCUCAACCGUGGAGGGUCAGUUGGAAACUGGGGGACUUGAGUACAGAAGAGGAAAGCGGAAUUCCAAGUGUAGCGGUGAAAUGCGUAGAGAUUUGGAGGAACACCAGUGGCGAAGGCGGCUUUCUGGUCUGUAACUGACGCUGAGGCGCGAAAGCGUGGGGAGCAAACAGGAUUAGAUACCCUGGUAGUCCACGCCGUAAACGAUGAGUGCUAAGUGUUAGGGGGUUUCCGCCCCCUUAGUGCUGCAGCUAACGCAUUAAGCACUCCGCCUGGGGAGUACGGCCGCAAGGCUG
rnacentral:rRNA from 1 species